rnacentral:lncRNA from 1 species
AUAUAAUUUAGGUUGUAGAUUACAGGAUGAUCAUGUAAUGCAGCGGAUGAAAAGCAAAUCUUAUUAAGUUAGAAAACAAUCAUACAUUCACUCACAAGCACUCACAGUGUCAAGUGAAGAAUUAUCAGUUUGGUGGUGUCUGAUGAAACAUUCGCAUGGUAUUUUAUAAUUUCUUGAUGGAUCAGAUUAGUCUCUGUUGUCAGCACUGAAAAUUAUACAUGAAGAGAAAAUACAAAGGGUCGAUAUUAAAUUUGGCCUUAGUGUUGUAGAGUUCGCGAUGGGCACAUUAAUAUCAGUACUAAAGUCAUAUCUGAUUUUCCAAGUAGUGAGCACUCGAGCAGGCACUUCCUUGAUAUAUUUCACAUUUUGAAGAUACCAAAGCUUGUGGAUCUAUUGUCGGGAGUAGCUUAAGGAGUAAAACCAGCACAUUUGAAGAAAUGUGGUCCUCUGGUAAGAGAGAUUAAUCAAUCCUUCAGUGGGUGAAUGUAACUGUAAGAUGCAAGACGAAGAUAUAGUGCAAUGGAUGAAAAUGUAAUGCUCAUAGUUGGAAGUUUGUUGGUCAUUCUGGAAACAAAUCCUUAAACAAAGGAAGUUUCUUUUGAUUCAAUUUUGUAGAAGCAUGGAAUGUGGCAGGGUUGUGUAGGAGACAAUCGUGGUUGAACAGUCACACUAUAGAUUAUGCGGUCAGAAUAAAAUGCUAAGUGAAGCUAGAUAGAAAAGCGGAAGAGUGCAGCAAGUGACAUGUUGAAUGUAAGU